AUAAGGCCAUUUCGGGUUUGGCCAUAGGAAAAUCACCCCUCAAAAUCUUGCCUCUAAAAUUAUUUUCUUGUUGAAUUCCUACUAAAUUAAGUGUCCUUUACAACUUGGUGUAGUUGUUUUGGAAGAAGGAGCACUUAUUUCUUCAAGUUGACAACUUGUUCAAGUGAAGAAAUUUGUAGAAAAAGAUUUUGAAGGAAACGGGAAUUGAAUUUGGAAAGGCGUAAAGAGCAUACAAGGUACAGACGACAGAUUUGCUGACCGCCUGCCUAGGAUAUCUAUUCUGCUAUUUUGGGAGUGCUCUUUUGUCCAGAGCCUAUAUGUUGGUACAGUCUGCUGCUAUUGUAUAUAUGUAUGCUAUUCAGGGGUAUGACGGGGCCCUGUCCCGUCUUAUGAUUCUGUUAUGUUCUGUAGAGGUCUGUAGACAUACUUGUGUGGGUUCUGUAUAUGGUUUGGGAUGAUAUGAUCUGUGACAGCCUUAUCGGCUUCCAUGUACUAUGUCGGUUCAUUUAUGAUAAUUACUAACGUCGAU